GGAUGUGAGGGCGAUCUGGCUGCGACAUCUGUCACCCCAUUGAUCGGCAGGGUUGAUUCGGCUGAUCUGGCUGGCUAGGCGGGUGUCCCCUUCCUCCCUCACCGCUCCAUGUGCGUCCCUCCUGAAGCUGCGAGCUCGGUGGAAGAGGACGGCCUUCCCCGAAUAGAGACGGACUGGUCUUCGGUCGAGGGUAUACGAGUAGCUGCGCACCCCUGCUAGAACCUCCAAACAAGCUCUCAAGAAUAUAGCAUCUGGGAGUCGGGCGGUAGGGCAGUGGGUUAAGCACACGUGGCAAAGCGCAGGGACCGGUGUAAGGAUCCCUG
rnacentral:snRNA from 1 species